rnacentral:sRNA from 1 species
GAGUUUUCACUCCCAACCCUUGCAAACCGUACCCCGUUCUGUUCUCGUUGCUUCUGGCGGGAGGCGGGAGGGCGCGGGGGGGUGUGGUGGCCUCGGCCGCCUCGCCCCUCCUCCGCCUUCCCCCCCUGGGUCCCCUCGGGGCGCCCGCCAGCGGUCAGCGAGCCGCCCGAACUUUUAUACCAACAGCAAACGUCUUCGUCUGAGCAACAAACAAAAAUAAGCAAAACUUUCAACAACGGAUCUCUUGGCUCUGGCAUCGAUGAAGAACGCAGCGAAAUGCGAUACGUAAUGCGAAUUGCAGAAUUCAGCGAGUCAUCGAAUCUUUGAACGCACAUUGCGCCCGCCAGCAUUCUGGCGGGCAUGCCUGUCCGAGCGUCAUUUCCCCCCUCAGCGCACCCUUUGCGCUGGCGUUGGGGCUCCUCCGCCCCGCUCGUGGGCGGCAGGGCCCUCAAAACCAGUGGCGGGCCCAGCUGGUGGCUCCGAGCGCAGUACCGAACGCAUCGUUCUCCUCUCGCUCUGCAGCUCCGGCCGGCGCCCAGCCGUCAAGCCGCGCGGGCGGUCCUCAGCGUCUUUUCGCCGAGCCGCCUCGCACUUUGUACCAAGGUUGACCUCGGAUCAGGUAGGACUACCCGCUGAACUUAAGCAUAUCA